AAACUGAAGAGUUUGAUCCUGGCUCAGAUUGAACGCUGGCGGCAUGCCUUACACAUGCAAGUCGAACGGCAGCACGGGUGCUUGCACCUGGUGGCGAGUGGCGAACGGGUGAGUAAUACAUCGGAACAUGUCCUGUAGUGGGGGAUAGCCCGGCGAAAGCCGGAUUAAUACCGCAUACGAUCCAUGGAUGAAAGCGGGGGACCUUCGGGCCUCGCGCUAUAGGGUUGGCCGAUGGCUGAUUAGCUAGUUGGUGGGGUAAAGGCCUACCAAGGCGACGAUCAGUAGCUGGUCUGAGAGGACGACCAGCCACAC
rnacentral:rRNA from 1 species